CGCCUCAGUGUCAGUUACAGACCAGAAAGUCGCCUUCGCCACUGGUGUUCCUCCAUAUCUCUACGCAUUUCACCGCUACACAUGGAAUUCCACUUUCCUCUUCUGCACUCAAGUCUCCCAGUUUCCAAUGACCCUCCACGGUUGAGCCGUGGGCUUUCACAUCAGACUUAAGAAACCACCUGCGCGCGCUUUACGCCCAAUAAUUCCGGAUAACGCUUGCCACCUACGUAUUACCGCGGCUGCUGGCACGUAGUUAGCCGUGGCUUUCUGGUUAGGUACCGUCAAGGUGCCAGCUUAUUCAACUAGCACUUGUUCUUCCCUAACAACAGAGUUUUACGACCCGAAAGCCUUCAUCACUCACGCGGCGUUGCUCCGUCAGACUUUCGUCCAUUGCGGAAGAUUCCCUACUGCUGCCUCCCGUAGGAGUCUGGGCCGUGUCUCAGUCCCAGUGUGGCCGAUCACCCUCUCAGGUCGGCUACGCAUCGUUGCCUUGGUGAGCCGUUACCUCACCAACUAGCUAAUGCGACGCGGGUCCAUCCAUAAGUGACAGCCGAAGCCGCCUUUCAAUUUCGAACCAUGCAGUUCAAAAUGUUAUCCGGUAUUAGCCCCGGUUUCCCGGAGUUAUCCCAGUCUUAUGGGCAGGUUACCCACGUGUUACUCACCCGUCCGCCGCUAACUUCUUGAGAGCAAGCUCUCAAUCCAUUCGCUCGACUUGCAUGUAUUAGGCACGCCGC
rnacentral:rRNA from 1 species